GUCAGGAUGGCCGAGAGGUCCAAGGCGCCAGACUCAAGUUCUGGUGUCUAAAUAGAGGCGUGGGUUCAAAUCUCACUCCUGACA